CCACUCUUCAGUAAUGAACCUGGACCCUCAGACACAAAACAGAGAGCAGGGUCUACGGUCUCCAUGUGGUCUCUGAUGAGUGACUGGUCUAUAGGGGAACCUCCAUACUUCAGUAAUGAACCUGGACCCUCAGACACAAAAGGGAAGAGGAAGAGUGGUGUUCCUGUGGAGGAGCAGCUGUCCAGCUGUGCUCUGUGUC